GGGGGGAAAUCGGGAGGCUAUACAUGCAGUCGAGGGGUAACAGGGAAGCUUGCUUCCGCUGACGACCGGCGAACGGGUCCGUUACGCGUAUGUAACUUGCCCUGUACUGGAGGAUAGCCCGGAGAAAUUCGGAUUAAUACUCCAUAGCAUCGCGGAAUCUCAUGGUUCUGCGCUUAAAGAUUUAUCGGUACAGGAUAGGCAUGCGUGACAUUAGCUAGUUGGUGAGGUAAUAGCUACACCAAGGCUACGAUGUCUAGGGGUUCUGAGAGGAUUGUCCCCCACACUGGUACUGAGACACAGACCAGACUCCUACGGGAGGCAGCAGUAGGGAAUAUUGGUCAAUGGGCGAGAGCCUGAACCAGCCAUCCCGCGUGCAGGAAGAAUGCCCUAUGGGUUGUAAACUGCUUUUAUAUGGGAAGAAAAUGGCCUUGCGAGGCACACUGACGGUACCAUAUGAAUAAGCGCCGGCUAACUCCGUGCCAGCAGCCGCGGUAAUACGGAGGGUGCAAGCGUUAUCCGGAUUUAUUGGGUUUAAAGGGUGCGUAGGCGGUUUCUUAAGUCAGUAGUGAAAGUCUGCAGCUUAACUGUAGAAGUGCUAUUGAUACUGGGAGACUUGAAUAUGGUGAAGGUAGGCGGAAUUCGUGGUGUAGCGGUGAAAUGCAUAGAUACCACGAAGAACACCGAUAGCGAAGGCAGCUUACUAUACCAUUAUUGACGCUGAGGCACGAAAGCGUGGGGAGCGAACAGGAUUAAAUACCCUGGUAGUCCACGCCGUAAACGAUGAUUACUCGAUGUUGGCGAUAUACAGGCCGCGUCCAAGCGAAAGCGUUAAGUAAUCCACCUGGGAAGUACGCUCCCAAGAAUGAAACUCAAA
rnacentral:rRNA from 1 species